AACGCACAUUGCGCCCGCCAGCACUCUGGCGGGCAUGCCUGUCCGAGCGUCAUUUCAACCCCCCAGACGAAAAUUCUGGCGUUGGGGCCACCGCGGCAAGGCGGCGCCCCGAAAGCGAGCGGCGGGACCACUGGCACCCCUGGCGUAGUAACUUACAAUCGCCUAGGGCUUUAGUUGCUGGCGUCGUCCCUGCCCCUAACGUACCUAACAAUACAUUUAAGAGGUUGACCUCGGAUCAGGUAGGGAUACCCGCUGAACUUAA
rnacentral:misc_RNA from 1 species